rnacentral:rRNA from 1 species
CGGAGGAUCCAAGCGUUAUCCGGGAUUUAUUGGGUUUAAAGGGUGCGUAGGUGGCUUUGUAAGUCAGUGGUGAAAAGUUCUCAGCUUAACUGGAAAAUUGCCAUUGAUACUGCAGGGCUUGAGUUCAGAUGAGGUAGGCGGAAUGUGUCAUGUAGCUGUGAAAUGCAUAGAUAUGACACAGAACACCGAUUGCGAAGGCAGCUUACUAAACUGAAACUGACACUGAGGCACGAAAGCGUGGGGAUCAAACAGGAUUAGAUACCCUGGUAGUCCACGCCCUAAACGAUGAUCACUCGAUGUGUGCGAUAUACAGUACGCGUCCAAGCGAAAGCGUUAAGUGAUCCACCUGGGGAGUACGCCGGCAACGGUG